UACGUAGGGGGCAAGCGUUGUCCGGAAUCAUUGGGCGUAAAGCGCGUGUAGGCGGUUCGAUAAGUCUGCUGUGAAAGUCCAGGGCUCAACCCUGGAAUGCCGGUGGAAACUGUCGGACUAGAGUCCGGAAGAGGCGAGUGGAAUUCCUGGUGUAGCGGUGAAAUGCGCAGAUAUCAGGAGGAACACCAAUGGCGAAGGCAGCUCGCUGGGACGGUACUGACGCUGAGACGCGAAAGCGUGGGGAGCAAACAGG
rnacentral:rRNA from 1 species